rnacentral:rRNA from 1 species
CACGGGGGGAGCAAGCGUUGUUCGGAAUCACUGGGCGUAAAGGGCGUGUAGGCGGUCAAGUAAGUGGAAUGUGAAAGCCCCCGGCUUACCCGGGGAUCUGCAUCCCAAAUUGCUUGGCUUGAGUACGGGAGAGGAUAGGGGAAUUCCUGGUGUAGCGGUGAAAUGCGUAGAUAUCAGGAGGAACACCGAUGGCGAAGGCAGGUCUCUGGGCCGCAACUGACGCUGAGGAGCGAAAGCGUGGGGAGCGAACAGG